rnacentral:misc_RNA from 1 species
AUGCGUCUUAUUGCACAUCUUUGCGAGCAGUUUCAAACUCACUAAUGGCACUCACACAAGAUUGGCAAUAAGACGCAUUCAGAACAACCAAAUACAGUGGAAGAUGUGGCAAAGAUUGAAGCCUUGUGCAAUAAUUCAAGUAGAGUUCUCGGAGCCCCAAAACAAGCUUAAUGCUUGAAGGUAAGGUCUCAAACUUGCUUCCUUGUAGAGAUAAUUUAGUCAAGGACGAAAAGGAAGCAAGUUUACUUAGAAGCACUAAUGGAUUGACAUAUGGCCCACAUAUAGAAAGGUUAUCAAGAUGUCCCAAUUGGAAAAAUGUGUUUGGGAGAAUCUUAAGGUUUUUGCAGUCACGCAAACUUAGUACCUUAAGUCGAGAGAGCAAACCAAUUGAUGAGGGUAUUUCUUCUAUUGCUGUUCCCUUCAUUCGUAAGGUUUCUAUACUCUCUGGAAUCUCUGGAAACCUUUUUAUUUUUG